rnacentral:rRNA from 1 species
CCUACGGGAGGCUGCAGUGGGGGAUAUUGCACAAUGGGGGAAACCCUGAUGCAGCGACGCCGCGUGUGGGAAGACGGUCCUCUGGAUUGUAAACCACUGUCCCCAGGGACGAAGAUGACGGUACCUGGGGAGGAAGCUCCGGCUAACUACGUGCCAGCAGCCGCGGUAAUACGUAGGGAGCGAGCGUUGUCCGGAAUUACUGGGGGAAAAGGGAGCGUAGGCGGGGAUGCAAGUUGGGUGUCAAAACUACCGGCUCAACUGGGAGUCGCACUCAAAACUGCAGCUCUUGAGUGAAGUAGAGGCAGGUGGAAUCCCUAGUGUAGCGGUGAAAUGCGUAGAUAUUAGGAGGAACACCAGUGGCGAAGGCGGUCUGCUGGGCUUUUACUGACGCUGAGGCUCGAAAGUGUGGGGAGCAAACAGGAUUAGAUACCCGAGUAGUC